GAUGAACGCUGGCGGCGUGCCUAAUACAUGCAAGUCGAGCGAACGGAUGAGGAGCUUGCUCCUUUGAAGUUAGCGGCGGACGGGUGAGUAACACGUGGGUAACCUACCUAUAAGACUGGAAUAACUUCGGGAAACCGGAGCUAAUGCCGGAUAACAUUUGGAACUGCAUGGUUCUAAAGUAAAAGAUGGUUUUGCUAUCACUUAUAGAUGGACCCGCGCCGUAUUAGCUAGUUGGUAAGGUAACGGCUUACCAAGGCAACGAUACGUAGCCGACGUGAGAGGGUGAUCGGCCACACUGGAACUGAGACACGGUCAGACUCCUACGGGAGGCAGCAGUAGGGAAUCUUCCGCAAUGGACGAAAGUCUGACGGAGCAACGCCGCGUGAGUGAUGAAGGUUUUCGGAUCGUAAAACUCUGUUAUUAGGGAAGAACAAAUGUGUAAGUAACUGUGCACAUCUUGACGGUACCUAAUCAGAAAGCCACGGCUAACUACGUGCCAGCCGCCGCCGUAA
rnacentral:rRNA from 1 species